rnacentral:tRNA from 1 species
GUCAAGUUAGUUUAGCUUAAAACAUCAGCUUGUGGAUUUGAAAAGGAAAAUUAGUUUCACUUGACC